rnacentral:rRNA from 1 species
GAUGAACGCUGGCGGCGUGCCUAAUACAUGCAAGUCGAGCGAACAGACGAGGAGCUUGCUCCUCUGACGUUAGCGGCGGACGGGUGAGUAACACGUGGAUAACCUAGCUAUAAGACUGGGAUAACUUCGGGAAACCGGAGCUAAUACCGGAUAAUAUAUUGAACCGCAUGGUUCAAUAGUGAAAGACGGUUUUGCUGUCACUUAUAGAUGGAUCCGCGCCGCAUUAGCUAGUUGGUAAGGUAACGGCUUACCAAGGCAACGAUGCGUAGCCGACCUGAGAGGGUGAUCGGCCACACUGGAACUGAGACACGGUCCAGACUCCUACGGGAGGCAGCAGUAGGGAAUCUUCCGCAAUGGGCGAAAGCCUGACGGAGCAACGCCGCGUGAGUGAUGAAGGUCUUCGGAUCGUAAAACUCUGUUAUUAGGGAAGAACAAAUGUGUAAGUAACUAUGCACGUCUUGACGGUACCUAAUCAGAAAGCCACGGCUAACUACGUG